UCUGAGCAUGUUCCACAGUAAUAAGCUACAUCCUUUAUGUAGGCCACUGGAACACCUAUUUUGUAGCAGUCCACAAUUUCACUCUAUCCUCAUUUAUCCCACCAUUGUUGUGAGAAGGAGCAGAUAAAUAGCAAAGUGGUUGGAUCCCAGUUCACUGUCCCCCAACCACACUGGAUGAGUCUAAUGUUGAAGAGGUUCUGGCACUGAUGAGUAUUUGCACCUCUGGGGAUGAGUGGAGACAUGCAGCGUAGGCAAUGAGUGUAACUGGAAAUGGUGCAGUUUCCGGUACUUGCUGGAGGUAACCAUCUCAGAAUAACAGAGCUAUUGCUCCUCUCCUGGGCUAUAGGUCGGCCUGGGGCUGCUGGUACACCUGAAAAUGGGGAGAAAAUCAACACAGCAGAUUUAAAUCUCAAUCCAAUGUAGCCUCACUGCCCAGUGAUAAUUCACAAUGCAAACUGGAUUCAAGAUGUCAACAUUUUCUACUAUGUAAAGCAGUGAUUUACCUGGUGACUGUCAACCAAUGAAAUAACACAGCAAUUCUACUUACUUAAUAUCCCAAAUUGGAGGUUCAAAAACAUAUAGGAAAAUUAAGGAGAAAAACUUUUUCAAGGCGAAGAUGUUCAUCAAGCAUUUCAUCAAGCAGUUUGUUAUGAAAAUGAUUUGAAAAGAUUCAGUUACCCUGCACUUUAAUUGUUGCUGAAGAUGAUGUUGAUCCCAUUUCAUUCAGAGCCACACAACUAUAUAUUCCACUGUCUUGAGGCAUGAUAUUGCAAAUUUUAAGCAUAACCUCUCCAGAAUCACUAUAAAAGGAAAUCACAAAUUUAAACUUCUAGCGAAAGGAAAGCUGACCAAAUUUCAUACUCAAUUAUAUAAAUAUGAAUGUUAAUACAGUUCCAUAUAUGAUGAAUCUCAUAUCCAUAAAGUUUUUCAAUUCAAACAAAAUGAGGCUUUUUUGUACACUAAGCCCAUAUUGUCCACAGACCACACACAGUUAUCUUAUUACAGCUUAAGCCAAUUUCAUUUUUUAAAGAAGAAUAAACAUUUUCAUUUCCCAGAAAGAAA